rnacentral:lncRNA from 15 species
AUGUUACUUACAAGCAUGUUCAGUUUGGAGACUUUAGAGAGUCAGUUAUCUGCUGUAAUGGAGACUCUGGUGAAAGGGGCGGUGGCGGAGCUCAGCACACUUCUGGACCAGUACCAGUGCUCGGCUAACGCCAAGGCUAUGGCCGCUAAGCAGCGCUCGGUUCCGGCUACGGUAACGUUAACUCCCAUGAAGACCGAAGAGGAGGAGAGCGAAGUGACUCCACCGGAGGAGAGGCGACAAUUGAAUAAAGCUAUAACGAAGCAGUUUGCAUCCCUCAUGGAAGCGUGGGCCAAAGGUGCAGUAGAGAAAAUACUGAUAAUGCUGAAGGCGUCUAUGUGUGAGGCGGAGGAUGGUCCUGCUGCCUCGAGUGACAAGGCGAAACCGACGGGCAUGAAGACAAGAUCAGGGCGAGUGGCCGGGCCCCAAAAGCAAUCAGCGACCAGGAGCUCACGACAGAAGAAAAAGAAAAUGAAGGGAGGACUGGAAGCAGCAAUAAGAAAGGAGAAUGACCAUAUGUAUUACCGAGAGGAGCAACAGACGGCACUAACGGCAGCAGCAGCUGACUCAGAGUCAGCCAUCAAAGCUGGUAAUUAAUGCUUCUUUACAAGCAGAACGGAUACUUCCUGUGUGUGAGAACAAGUACCAAAGUGCAGUCUUGAAUGUGUGCGUGCAGUAUACUGGAAUUGUUGUUGCUAUUUGCAGUUGUUGCUGUUCUCUUUAAAGUCACUGAUAUUAAACAUUAUAUUUUCUGUCAUUAUUUUAGGUCAUUGUUUCACACUGAACCUGAAAACCCUGUUUCCCUGUCUUACAAUCUAGCUGUGCUUCAUGAACAAAAACAUUCAGAAAUUGUAUUCUAAUUUGUUGUGGGUUGCUGUGUUUGACUGUGUUAGCUGUUUACAUCUCACUUUGUUUCUUGUCCGCUAAUGAAGCUUUGUUUUAGUUUCAGCUGAUGCAGCCCCACCUGAGACUAGCUCUGGAUCUCAGCCUGAAGCUACGCUAACAGAGCCCGUCUCAGAGCUGGCCUCUGAUGUAAGCAGGGAAGGUGUCGUCCAGGAGGAUGGUGGCACUUCAUCUACCACAUCCAAGAUCAAAAAGAAGAAGACCACCACAGGGCCAUUCAAAUGUCCUUCUUGUGACAAAU